rnacentral:lncRNA from 1 species
UUUGCGUCAAAGGUGUUUGAUUUUUUGAUUCAUUCAAAAAGUUUCGAAUCCAAGGCAAAUUCGACGCAUGGCGUUGGCGUUUAGUUCUAUGCGUUCCGUUUGAAGUAAGAAGUAACUCGUAAAGUUGUUUUUCCAUUGAAAAGAGGGGAAUUCGGAGUUCCUUUUGCCUCUCUUUAUUACCCUUUUUUCAAUUUUAAAAUUUAUAUAACAACACAACACAACCCAGUUGACAGACAAUCCACCAUACAUAAACGCCAAAAGAGUCUCUCUCACUUUAGCAUGCGAGAACUUAAUUUUCUAGAUAA